ACCUGCAUAGAUAGUAGAGAAUGAGACUCUCAAUCUCAGGGUUGUGGGUUUGAGCCCCACUUUGGGCA